GACGAACGCUGGCGGCGUGCUUAACACAUGCAAGUCGAACGGAAAGGCCCUGCUUUUGUGGGGUGCUCGAGUGGCGAACGGGUGAGUAACACGUGAGUAACCUGCCCUUGACUUUGGGAUAACUUCAGGAAACUGGGGCUAAUACCGGAUAGGUGCUCCUGCUGCAUGGUGGGGGUUGGAAAGUUUCGGCGGUUGGGGAUGGACUCGCGGCUUAUCAGCUUGUUGGUGGGGUAGUGGCUUACCAAGGCUUUGACGGGUAGCCGGCCUGAGAGGGUGACCGGCCACAUUGGGACUGAGAGACGGCCCAGACUCCUACGGGAGGCAGCAGGGGGGAAUAUUGCACAGUGGGCGGAAGCCUGAUGCAGCAGCGCCGCGUGCGGGAUGUCGGCCUUCGGGUUGUAAACCGCUUUCGCCUGUGACGAAGCGUGAGUGACGGUAAUGGGUAAAGAAGCACCGGCUAACUACGUG
rnacentral:rRNA from 1 species